rnacentral:rRNA from 1 species
CAAUAGCGUAUAUUAAAGUUGUUGCGGUUAAAAAGCUCGUAGUUGGAUUUCUGCUGAGGACGACCGGUCCGCCCUCCGGGUGAGUAUCUGGCUCGGCCUGGGCAUCUUCUUGGAGAACGUUGCUGCACUUGAUUGUGUGGCGCGGAAUUCAAGACUUUUACUUUGAGGAAAUUAGAGUGUUUCAAGCAGGCACACGCCUUGAAUACAUUAGCAUGGAAUAAUAAGAUAGGACCUCGGUUUUAUUUUGUUGGUUUCUAGAGCUGAGGUAAUGAUUAAUAGGGAUAGUUGGGGGCAUUCGUAUUUAACUGUCAGAGGUGAAAUUCUUGGAUCUGUUAAAGACGGACUACUGCGAAAGCAUUUGCCAAGGAUGUUUUCAUUGA